rnacentral:rRNA from 1 species
UACGUAGGGUGCAAGCGUUGUCCGGAAUUACUGGGCGUAAAACGUGCGCAGGCGGUUUUGUAAGCCAGAUGUGAAAUCCCCGGGCUUAACCUGGGAAUGGCAUUUGGGACUGCAAGGCUCGAGUGCGGCAGAGGAGACUGGAAUUCCUGGUGUAGCAGUGAAAUGCGUAGAUAUCAGGAGGAACACCGAUGGCGAAGGCAGGUCUCUGGGCUGACACUGACGCUCAUGCACGAAAGCGUGGGGAGCAAACAGG